UGUAGAUUUACUCUGCCUUAGUCCUAGAAUUUCAGAAGGAGGCAGGAAGGCCUAGCUGAAGCUGUUCACCUCUAGAGGGGUGUAAGGCCUGGGGGAUCCUGGCAGCUGAAUGUCUUCUGCUGACUGAGAUGCGCUGGC
rnacentral:lncRNA from 1 species